GAUGAACGCUGGCGGCGUUCCUAAGACAGGCAAAUCAAGCCAACGGGGUAGAAGUUUUCUUUUGUGAUGUUAGCGGCGGACGUGUGAUUAACACGUGGAUCACCUACCUCUAACACUGGGAUAACUUCCAGAAACCGCAUCUCAUACCGGAUAGUAUUUUGAACCGGAUUGUUCAAAAGUGAAAUACGGGCUUGCUGUCCCGUAUAGCUGUAGCCGGGCUUCAUUAGCUAGUUGGUAAGGUAACGGCGUAACAAGGCAACGAUGCCUAACGGCCCUGAGAGGGUGAUCGGCCACACGGGAACUGAGACACGGUCCAGACUCCGAAGGGAGGCAGCAGUAGGGACUCUUCCGCCAUGGGCGAAAGCCUGACGGAGCACCGCCGCGUGAGUGAUGAAGGUCUUAGGAUCGGAAAACUCUGUUCCUAGGGCAGAACAUAUGUGUAAGGAACUGUCCACACCUUGACGGUACCUAAUCAGAGAGGUAAGGAGAACCACGGG
rnacentral:rRNA from 1 species